GACGAACGCUGGCGGCGUGCUUAACACAUGCAAGUCGAGCGAACAGGCCCUGCUUUUUUGGGUUUCUCGAGUGGCGAACGGGUGAGUAACACGUGAGUAACCUACCCUUCUCUUUGGGAUAACUUCAUGCAACUGGGGCUAAUACCGGCUAGGAGCUCCUUCUGCUUGGUUGGGGUUGGAAAGUUUCGGAGGUUUGGGAUAGACUCGCGGCUUAUCAGCUUGUUAGUGGGGUAGUGGCUUACCAAGGCCUUGACGGGUAGCCGGCAUGAGAGGGUGAACGGCGACAUUGGGACUGAGAGACGGCCCAGACUGCUAUGGGAGGCAGCAGGGGGGAAUAUUGCAGAAUGGGGGGAAGUGUGAGGAAGAAACGCUGCGUGCGGGAUGACGGGUUUUGAGGGAUAAACAGCUAUCGUAGGAGAUGAAGGUAGAGUGACGGUAACGGGUAAAGAAGCACCGGCUAACUACGUG
rnacentral:rRNA from 1 species